UGUGUUACUUUUUCAACGAGAAAGCACAUGGUUCGAAAAAUAAACGCUGUAAACUAUAAAUAAUUUCUCCGAUGAACAUGGACGAAAUCAGGAGUAAAAUCGGUAGGUUGAUAGUUCCACUAUAGUGGAACAUAUUAUAAUCACCAUGUAUUUUUUCAUCUCCUCAUAAGUACCCAACAAUCUUAUAUAGCAGCGGCCAACAAUCCAACCGCACAAGUCGUACAUCGCUGAACUACAACUUAAACAGAAUUAGCAACCGUCGUCCCAUCAACAGUAAACAGCCGGAUGUAUUUGAGUAUUCCAAUUCCCUCCUGAGCUUUCCUGAGUCUUUCCUGAGCUCGUGAAACAUCAAAUAAUGGAAUGCUUAGAAGAUCACCGUAACACUUACUACCAUCUUACAAACAGUAAAUCCAUACAAGUACAUCCACCAAACCAACAUGGAAUUUGGAAGCUGUCGCAGGACAGUAGUGAAGGUUUACUUCCCGAUGGAGACGGUGGGGAUGGGGAAUAAAUCAAGAUCGGACUACGACACUCACGGAAUUUCAACCAGAAGCAUCACCUACCCAUAGGAACUUUUAUAACCGGCUGAUUGAUGCAAAUAAUGCUAAGUCAUAACUUUCGUUCUAUUGAAGAGGAAGACGGCAAAGAUAAGCCCCAAACGCAAUACAACGGAACGGCGACGGAAACGGCAAAUUUAACAGAAAAUAUAUGGGCUAACUGUCAAAUUUUCCGUUUCCGUCGCCGUUCCGUUGUAUUGCGUUUGGGGCUAUACUCUCAAGCGUGAAGCGGCACCCGCUGGUAGCCAACCAAUUCAUUUUUAUUAAUUAAACGGAGCAAUUUAUUAAUCAUAUAUAUUUUUUACAUUCGUUUUCAUUUUAUUAGUUCCGCCCGGAAUGCGAUUUCCGUUAGAAGGACGAAAACCGAAGAAAGUUUUUUUUUCUAUAACUCCAUUGUUGAUUCGGUGAAGUUAUAGCAAAACAAAUGUUUCUUCAAUUGGGUUUCGAUUCGAUAACGGAAAUCGGAUUCCGGACGGAAUUUGCAUAUACUUCAUCAUUAUAUAAAUAUGAAAGAAAACACGAAAUUCAUUUGUUAACAAAUGAAGUUCAUCUCGAUUAUACUUUA